rnacentral:lncRNA from 1 species
CCACGGGUGAGGAACUUCUUUUCUGCCUUUCUGUUCCUCAUCCCUUCUGAUUCACAUCCAUUGAUGUGAUUCACUAUUAUUCAUUGGAGAGGGAAUAUAAUUUCCUUUAGUUCCUGAUAAAGAAACCCUGACUAAAACAGACAGUCCAACCAACACACAGGCAGUUCAACUAGAACAAGCAGUCAAGAAAAAUGCGUCGAAAGGAAGACUAUGGUGUCUCAGCCAUCUCUUCCAUCGUUUUCUCCAUUAAAAGAUCUAUUGUUAAUGAUCUCAAUGAUUAAUUGCCAUAGCCAACUGUUGAAUUAUCUACAUUCACUUCCUGGUUGUUCUCAUCAUCCACUCAUAAAAAGCUUAAUUGCACUGCCCAACAAAAAUGGUACUAGUAGUGUAAAGCACAAAUGGCAGGAAUGUCUCAUGUAUGUUAACAAUCACUGGUGAGAACUUUUUGAAGAAGCGCUUUCAAUUUUAUUGAAAUC